UACGGAGGGGGCUAGCGAUGGUCGGAAUUACUGGGCGUAAAGGGCGCGCAGGCGGCUGCUCAAGUCAGGCGUGAAAGGCCUGGGCUCAACCCGGGAAUUGCGCUUGAGACUGGGCUGGCUUGAGUGCGGGAGAGGAUGGUGGAAUUCGCAGUGUAGAGGUGAAAUUCGUAGAUAUUGGGAAGAACACCGGUGGCGAAGGCGGCCAUCUGGACCGCAACUGACGCUGAGGCGCGAAAGCGUUGGGAACAAACAGG
rnacentral:rRNA from 1 species